GAUGAACGCUGGCGGCGUGCCUAAUACAUGCAAGUCGAGCGAACGGACGAGAAGCUUGCUUCUCUGAUGUUAGCGGCGGACGGGUGAGUAACACGUGGAUAACCUACCUAUAAGACUGGGAUAACUUCGGGAAACCGGAGCUAAUACCGGAUAAUAUUUUGAACCGCAUGGUUCAAAAGUGAAAGACGGUCUUGCUGUCACUUAUAGAUGGAUCCGCGCUGCAUUUGCUAGUUGGUAAGGUAACGGCUUACCAAGGCAACGAUGCAGAGCCGACCCGAGGGGGUGAUCGGCCACACUGGAACUAGGACACGCUGCAGACUCCUAAGGGAGGCAGGAGUAGGGAAUCUUCCGCAGUGGGCGAAAGCCUGACGGAGCAACGCCGCGUGAGUGAUGAAGGUCUUCGGAUCGUAAAACUCUGUUAUUAGGGAAGAACAUAUGUGUAAGUAACUGUGCACAUCUUGACGGUACCUAAUCAGAAAGCCACGGCUAACUACGUG
rnacentral:rRNA from 1 species